GGGUGCGGCGGGGUGGGCACAGGCUAGGCUCUAAGUCCAGGUGUCUGGAAAGACCUUCCAGGUCUCCCAUCAACUUCUUCUUUUAAAAUAUGUUUGUUUAUUUGGCCGUGCUGGGUCUUAAUUGCAGCCCGUGGGAUCUUACGUCCCUUCCAGGAACUGAACCCCCAUCCCCCGCAUUGGAAGGCAGACUCGUAACCACUGGACCGCCAGUGAAGUCCCUCCCACCACAUCCCAGACACGUUCUCUGCCCCGGUUUUCCUUCCCUCUUAUCCUUCAGGGCUGGGAGAGUAUGGCAAACUCAUUUGUCCAAAGUACUGGGGACCCAGGUCACAACCUGCAGCCGGGUAAAUUUACACAGAAAGGCACCCAAGCUGGGCAGGGCGACGCUCAGUGUAAAGGAACGACUCUCUAACGCGAUUCAGUGAGAUCCUGCUGGGUGGAGAGACACACUCAGGCAGGGUGCCCCCGAAUCACAGCCCAGAGGCGACAGCCCGCCUUCCCUAACCCCAUAAUGGGCACAUCCGUGCAGCAAGAGCCACCGGGCCCUGCUCCCUGUGCCGUUGCCGAACGCCACGUGCCUUCCCCGCUGUAUUUCCAGCCUUCACGGCAGCCCUGCGAACUCGGGAGCUUUGCGCUUGCUUUACUAAUAGCAGCAAGGCACAGGCAAGCCUGUCCCCAGAGCCUGCGUUCCUGCUCACUUACAUCCACGUUGUUCAGUCUGCAGGCUGUCACCCACUCGUGGGGUGUGAAAUCAGUGCAGUGGAUCCUGAGCACAACUUUUUAAUAGAAUAAGGUGGAAGAGAGCUUAAAAAAAAAAACAAAAAGCAGUUCACACCGUCAUGGAAGGCUGCUGUCAUAAAGCUGUGGCUUCAGGUGGGUAUGUGUGCGUGUUGUUGGAAAAUGGGGAUGAAAAUACAUUUCUCACAGUGAGUUUAAUCGAAACGUUCAAAAGUCAUUGCCUCACACUGUUGUCUCCUGGCUGCUGCUGGAAAGUGGCUUCCUUUCUUCCUGGGAGGACUGAGCGCAUGGGGUACUCCUCCAGGACACUCAGAGCAAGAGCGGGGGCAAGAAGCCGCCGUCGCCCUCCACCAGGAGCUCAUCCCGUUCAGAUGUUCCAGGCUGGUUUUCCACAACCCCCACCUCCCAGCUGAUCCCGGAGGCCAGCCCCAGGGGAAGGAGGCUACACGGCAGGCUGAGGGAUGAAGGUCACACACCAGGAAGACUUCCACGAGAGAGUGCUGGAGUCCACAGGGAGCAGAGCGAGAGGCGUGACGAUACAGCCUGCAUCCCGGAAGUCGUUUUUAAAAUUUCUUUAUUUUUUUUAACCCAUCCUUGAAGGUGAAAAUCAUGAAUGAAGCCGUAAAAGGAAAGAUGACGUGUCCGUGGCUCCUUUUUCAACGGCACGUGGACAGAGAACGCAAGCAGACCACGUGAUCCAUCGAGCCAAAACCCUCUGUUGUUCUGCACGCUUACUGCUACUUCGCUGCUGCCGAUUGUUAAUUACUGUCAGGUAACACUUGGGAGAUUAAUGGACCUCUCAGUCGAAACAAUAAAGGCUAUUAAACUCACCUGGCAGAAAGCUGAGAGCGAGUUUUGCUGUGCUGCUCUUCCUGCCGCUGGGUGAUCCUGCAUCUCAGCCCACUGUCUCCUCAGUCCUGCUCACAACUAUUUGAGAGAGAAUCCUGAUCCUCCCGGACCACGGACCGAGCCCGUGUCUCCUACACUGGCAGGCGGAUUCCUUACCCGUGAGCCGCCAGCGAAGCCCCCUGGUGGGCCUGCAAAGCAGAGGCUGGUUUUCCAUCUAGAGCAGCUCGGCCGCUGUUUUCUGCAGGCAGACGAGCAUCAGGGUCUUUUCAAACAAGUCAGCUCUUCGCAUCAGAUGGCCAAAGUAUUGGAGUUUCAGCUUCAGCAUCAGUCCUUCCAGUGAAAACUCCGGACUGAUCUCCUUUAGGACGGACUGGUUGGAUCUCCUUGCAGUCCAAGGGACUCUCAAGAGUCUUUACAACACCUCAGUUCAAAAGCAUCACAUCAAUGAAGAGGUCAAAAUCUCUGGCAGCAAGUGAGGCUGGAUACAAGUGCUCUGCACCUUCUCUCAACCUCUUGCAGGGCUGGUCCCUCUCACCGGCUGGCCCGGCCCUGGCCCAAGGGGGCUCACCUCCAUCACUUGGAGUAGAAAGGAGAAAGCCUGUCACUCCCAGCAUUCCCAGCUCCAAGUCCUGGGAUUCACUCUGAUUGGUCCUGCUUUGGUCACAUGUUCACCUCUGAGCCAAUCCCUGUGGCCAGAGAAACAGAACGCACCAAUUGGCUUAGUUUGAAUCACGGGCUCCAGUCCUUGGUCCCUGCUCUGGUAAGAGAAAUGGGAAAGGGGAGAUGGAUGCUUGGAGAAGCAGAGAGCAAGUCUCUAUUCCCUCAGGCUCUGGUUCCAUUUCUGCCGCUGCCUGGUCAUGUGACCUGGGCCAUCCAUUCCCCUUUAUAGGCUCAGUGGACUACAGUAAAUGAUUUAAAAUCUUGACUUCAUUUUUUUUUUUUUUUUAACUUUUUUUCAAACUCUUACAUGGAAGUGCACUGUGUGAGUCAGGUCCAACCGGACAGUCUGUCCUGGAGGUGGGGGAAGGGCGAGGCCCCUCGGCCUCCAGGCCCCCUUCCUUGCCCCGUGGGGGCCCCAGGAUUCCCACUGUCCCCGCCACCCUGGCAGCCCACGGCCACCUGAGUCAGCAUGAGCCCUGCACCUCUCCUGCACACCAUCCAGGGAACCCUGGACACGGCGAGGUGGCAGCCGCAGGGUCUCAGUGUCCAAAGGGGAGGCUAGGGAUUUGUGAACCCCACUCCCACCAAGGCCCAGCCCCUCAGCACCCUCAGCUGUUUCAGAAAGUCCCUGUCCCUGACCAUGACCUCACCCUGACAAGGAAAUGGUGGGCGUGGGACGGUACAGGCAGAGACUUUAUCUCUGUGGGCGGCUGGGCCAGAAGCCAGGCUGGGGGAGAGAGGGUGACAGCUGUGAACAGAGCCACCUUUGACUCUGGAGGACAAUGCCCUCCCAGUGUCCCCAUAACCCCUUCCUGGUCCCCAGAGCAGGUUAGGUCAAUACUGAGUUGUUUCAAGAUGAUCAUAAAGAGUGACAGCCAAGCUCCUCUCCUACCCUGGCAAUUCGCAGUGCAUAAAAUCCUUUCCUGCUCUUUGGCUCAAUUUUUUUUUUUGUUUAAAAAAUGCAUUGGGGGGUUGCACCACAUCUUGAAGCAAAUAGGACCUUUGAUCUUCGUUGCAGCCUGAGGGAUCUGUAGUUGCAGCAUGUGGGAUCUUGUUCCUCGACCAGAGAUCGAACCCGGGCCCCUGCACUGGGAGUGUGGAGUCCACCAGGAAGUCCCAGCUCAACUGUUUUUGACAACAGCCACAAGAGGCAGCGAGACAAGGGUUAGGUCCCAUUGUGUGAGCUGACAUUGACUGAGCCCCUGUUAAAAUGUUAGUCACUCAGUCGUGUCCGACUCUUUGUGACCCCAUGGACUGCAGCCCCCCGGGCUGCUCUGUCCACAGGAUUCUCCAGGCAAGAAUACUAAAGUGGGGCGCCAUUCCCUUCUCCAAGAGAUCUUCCCGACCCAGGGAUCAAACCCAGGUCUUCUGCAUUACAGGCGGAUUCUUUACCAUCUGAGCCACCAGGGAGCCCCUGCCCUGCGCUAAAUACCUUGUCGACUCAUGUCACCCUCAGUACUGAGAGGAGGCAGGCAGGCACUGUUGUUAUCCCUGUCUCCGAAGAGAACUCUGCAGAGACUUGGGUAGGUGAGCCCAAGCCACUCAGCUGGACAUGGCGAAGCUUCCUCCUGAACCCGUGUCUUCAACUCAAACCAUACGAGGAGCAGUUGACGCAACCACAGCUGCUGUUUCUGUGGAAGAAUAGACUGUCACCUUCGGCAAGUCCUCAAAGGACAGAAUAGGAGAGAAGGAGUGCGUGGGAAUUCUGAGGACAGAGCGAUGCCAACACCAGGAUGCUGCAGGGACACAGAUGCUGACUGGACCUGAGAAAGAACACGGUGACACCCAGAGCUGAGACCAAGGGGAGGGCAGCCUGGUGAGGCCGCGUGCGGGCGGAGGCUGGAUGGCACCGUGUACCUGGGGUUCCCACACUGCUGGGGGCUGGGCAAACACGGUCCCAAUGCUGGAGUUAGAAGUUUUAUGUAUUUCACUAGCAGACCCCGUCUCCGGCCUCAGCCCUCCCCACCCACUCUCCAGAGAACAUCCCUCCACCGUCUUCACCAAACUACCCGAAACUUAGCCGCAUACAACCGCCACCUUAUUACGCUCAGAGUCUUGUUGGUCAAGAGUGGACAGAGCCCAUCGGGGAUGCCCUGACCCCGCUCUGUGAUGUUUGGGGCCUCAGCUGGGAAAACUCAAUGCUGAGUGCCUCUGUGGGUGGGGCUGGAACCAUCUGGAGAGGUCUUCGCUCACAUGCCUGGUUGCUGAUGCGGGCCAUCAGCAGGACCUCAGCAGGGCUGUUGGCUGGACCACUUACCCAGGGUCUCUCCAAGCAGAUGAGUUUGGGCUUCCUCCCAGCAUGGCAGGCGGGUUCAAAGAACAAAUAUCCUGAGAGAGCAAGGUGGCAAAGCAUUUUUAUGAACUGACUUUGGAGAUCACAGAGUGUCAUCCACAAAGCUCCACCGUGUACCUAGGAAGCCCCUCCCGGGCCCAAGGAAGCGGACAGAGACCCCAGCACUGGAGGGGAGGAAUGUCAAAUCACGUUGAAAGAAGAGCAAGCGAGAUUGGAGAGCAUGCUAUAGCCGUCUUCGGAAAAAAGAAAAAAACCCGCGACACAGGCCCCUUCGGAUGGGGUUCCAGCCCUCAGCCUGGAUGAUGGGGUCCCACUUACGCCUCACUGGUCUCUGCACACGCACUUCCUUGGGACUAGAAAACUCAUCCACCAUCCCAAUCCACGCCCCCCUUUGCCUGGCCCAGCCCUACUUGCCCUCCACGGCUCAGCAGGGACACCACCUCCUCCCAGGAAGCCUGCCCUGAACCCUGCCCCCACCGCAGCCGAGAUGGGGCCCCCUUUCGACCACAGCCACAUGUGACCUGCUGGGUGCAGCGGCUUCUCUACUCUGCGAUCUCUAAUAAGAGGGUGGGCCCCACGAGGGCGUGAAUGGUGUUCACCACGUGUCUACCACUAUCUCCCCAGCACUGGGCCAAAUUCCAGCCCCUUUCUGGGUCCUGCUGAUGGACAGCCCACAGCCACUUCCCCCGGGAAGCCUUCCCGGGUUGUCCACGUGUGAGGUGUGUCUCCGGCUCUCCCGCAGGCCCCACUGCAGGCGUGUGGGAAGGCUGGGAUGAAAGCCCGGCGCUCCGCCCCUGUUCCCAAGCCAGAGCUUGUUAUUGCAGUAAAAGAGGCAGCAAAUUACCAGACGGGCUGGGAGCUGUAAUGAUUAAAACAGCGUAUUGUUCUUGGGGCUGCUAAUUGCAUACCUGAGAAAUGAGGCCUGCUCAGCCGUGGUGCCAGGCCCAGCCUGGCAGGGAGCCAGACACAGCCAGGCGACAGGGCAGAAGGGGGUGUCCCAGAAGCAGCAUGUCCCCAAAGGGAGUGGCUGAGCAGCCUCACUGGGGGGCCCCACUGAAAAUACAGAUUUCCAGGCCCUGGCUCAGACCCACUAACGCUGUAUCUGCGGGGGCAGGCCCAGGACCAUGGAUUCUUGACAAGCUCCCAAGGUGAUUCUGAAGGUCCAAGCCUGGGUUUCUGACUGCCCCACCCCAGAGCCAGAUGGAGGCCCGCCUCACUGGCCCAGUUCACCUGGAGAAUGAGGCAAGGCUGAGAGAGUGGCUGCGGGGGAGGGCAUGGAGAGGGCGGUUUCCCCGGGAACUCGGGUCAGAUCUCUUCCACAUGAGCUGGGGGACCCGGGGAGGGUCAGCUCGCCCCUCUGAGCACAGGCUGAUUUUCCCGGAAGCCAAGGGAGCGUAGGCUCGCAGAGCCCCCCGAGAAUCCGAGAGGGAGUUCACCAGGGGGUCCACCCAGCUGGCGUGUGUUGGGCCAUUUACAGAAGUAAGAUGCUUUGGUCUUCUUAGAGUCUCUCCAAAUUGCGUAGGCUUUGGGCUCGCCUAGAAUUGCAAGAGCCAUCACAGGGUGCUGCGGGGAUGGAAGGGGCAGAUGUAGAUCAAGCUGCAGCCCAGAGCCCGGCCACCAAGCGCUCAGGGAGAGAGCGCCUCCGCGUCCUCACCCGUGAGAGGGCCGUGGGGCCGCGGCUCCCUCCUGACGCCGUGCAAGCGUCCGAUGGGUGAAUACAGACGAAGCGCCCAGCUCAGCCCCUGGAGCAGGGCAAGUGCUCUGCACGCCUGGCCAGGCGUGACCCGCCGACGAGCAACCGUGGGACCCAGCGAGUGUGUGAGCAAGCGAGCAGGCCAGCUCGCGAGGGACACGUGAUGCGUGUGGAACCCUGUUCCCCGGAAACGCACAAAGACGCUGAGACCCCCUUUCGCCAAGCCAGUCUAAGAACCGGCCUGCCAAGGGGCAGGGGGCUGGGCUCAGCGACCCAGAUUUCCUGUAGGUCAGGACAAGAGCGACAGAAAAGCCUGGACCUUUGGCCAGUGGUUUCUGGGAAGACACCUGGAUCAGAGGAGGCUGGAAGGCUAGAACAGGAGGAGGGCUGGGGGCCGGAGUUUCAUCCAGGGCAACCCCGCUCCUGUACUCCCGGUUCUACCAGCAAUCAUGAAUGACAUUUUCAUGGAGGACUUCCUGGAGGAGGCGACUUUUGAGGGAGGGAAGUGACAGGGAAGGGCAGAAAGAAGUGCAAGCCAGGAGACACGGGACGCCCGAGUGUCAUCAGCGUCGCUGUGGACAUUAGGUGAGCACAUCCUGUGUCAGGAGUUGCCCAAGCGCUGAGCCCAGAUGGUCUCAUGUGGGGAGUUCUUGUCUUCUGUUUGUUUAUUUGCUUUAAAU
ensembl:lncRNA